rnacentral:rRNA from 1 species
GACGAACGCUGGCGGCGUGCUUAACACAUGCAAGUCGAACGGAAAGGCCCUGCUUUUGUGGGGUGCUCGAGUGGCGAACGGGUGAGUAACACGUGAGUAACCUGCCCUUGACUUUGGGAUAACUUCAGGAAACUGGGGCUAAUACCGGAUAGGAGCUCCUGCUGCAUGGUGGGGGUUGGAAAGUUUCGGCGAUUGGGGAUGGACUCGCGGCUUAUCAGCUUGUUGGUGGGGUAGUGGCUUACCAAGGCUUUGACGGGUAGCCGGCCUGAGAGGGUGACCGGCCACAUUGGGACUGAGAUACGGCCCAGACUCCUACGGGAGGCAGCAGUGGGGAAUAUUGCACAAUGGGCGGAAGCCUGAUGCAGCAACGCCGCGUGCGGGAUGACGGCCUUCGGGUUGUAAACCGCUUUCGCCUGUGACGAAGCGUGAGUGACGGUAAUGGGUAAAGAAGCACCGGCUAACUACGU